UGUUUGGUUUUGAGAGAAUCGUAAGAUUCCUCAACGAUAUCAGCCGAUGAAGGACGCGAUCAGCUGCGAAAAGCUGCGGUGAGCCGCAAGUAGGCGUUGACCCGCAGAUAUCCGAAUGGAGCAAUCCGGCAGCAGCAGUGCUGUCAUCCCUAUUCGACCGAAUAGGGAAGGGAACCCGGUGAACUGAAACAUCUAAGUAGCCGGAGGAAAAGAAAUCAAACGAGAUACCCCAAGUAGCGGCGAGCGAACGGGGCAGACGCCCAAACCGAUAAAGGAAACUUUAACGGGGUAGAGGACCCGGUAACAAUGCCACGAAUUUAGCCGAAGAGUACUGGAACGUACCGCCGAAGACGGUGACAGCCCGGUAGGCGAAAGAGGAGUGGCAGGACUGGGAAUCCGGAGUACCGCGGGACACGUGAAACCCCGUGGGAAGCAGGGGGGACCACCCUCCAAGGCAAAACACUGAUAUCGACCGAUAGCGCAUAGUACCGUGAGGGAAAGGUGAAAAGCACCCCGGGAGGGGAGUGAAAGAGAACCUGAAACCGUAUGUUUACAAACAGUCGAAGCACGUUAUGAAUCGUGCGACGGCGUGCCUAUUGAAGAAUGAACCGGCGAGUUACUACUACUGGCAAGGUUAAGGAGGAAAUCCGGAGCCGCAGCGAAAGCGAGUCUGAACAGGGCGCAAGUCAGUAAGAGUAGACCCGAAACCACAGUGAUCUACCCAUGUCCAGAUUGAAACACAGGUAAAAUUGUGUGGAGGAUCGAACCUAUGAGUGUUGAAAAACUUUAGGAUGAGAUGUGGGUAGGGGUGAAAUUCCAAUCGAACGUGGAGAUAGCUGGUUCUCCCCGAAAUAUCUUUAGGGAUAGCCUUAAGGAGAGACUAUAGGCGGUAGAGCACUGAUCGGGCUAGGGACCAAACCGGUUACUGAACCCAGUCAAACUACGAAUGGCUAUAGUUAUACUUAGGAGUCAGACUACGAGUGAUAAGAUCCGUGGUCAAGAGGGAAACAGCCCAGACCAUCAGCUAAGGUCCCCAAUGCCGUGCUAAGUGGGAAAGGAUGUAGCAUUUCACAAACAACCAGGAUGUUGGCUUAGAAGCAGCCAUCAUUAAAAGAGUGCGUAAUAGCUCACUGGUCGAGAGACGCUGCGCCGAAAAUACCCGGGGCUCAAGCACGGAACCGAAGCUAUGGCAUGCGUAAGCAUGGGUAGGGGAGCGUUCUGCAUAGGUAGAAGCAUGACCGUAAGGACAUGUGGACAGUGCAGAAGUGAGAAUGCCGGUAUGAGUAUCGAAAAGAAUGGUGAGAAUCCAUUCCACCGAAAGCCUAAGGGUUCCUGAGCAACGAUCGUCGGCUCAGGGUAAGUCGGGACCUAAGCCGAGGCGAAGACGCAUAGGCGAUGGACAACAGGUUGAAAUUCCUGUACUGACGUUAUUUGUUUGAGCAAUGGAGUGACACAGGAAGGUACAGCAGCACGCGACUGGAAGAGCGUGUCUAAGCGCGUACGUUGGUAACGAGGCAAAUCCCGUUACCUGAAAGCGGAGGCGUGAUGGGGAGACAUUGGAAACAAUGGGGAACUGCUGGAUCCUCGACUGUCGAGAAAAGCUUCUAGUGAGAAUGAUGUCACCCGUACCAAAACCGACACAGGUAGGCGAGAAGAGAAUUCUAAGGUGCGCGGGAAAACCCUACGUUAAGGAACUCGGCAAAAUGCAUCCGUAACUUCGGGAAAAGGAUGACCUUCGGUACGUAACGACCAGCAACGGUCCGAGCGGAAGAAGGUGACACAAGAGAGGCCCAAGCGACUGUUUACCAAAAACACAGGUGCCUGCGAAAGCGAAAGCUGAAGUAUAGGUGCUGACGCCUGCCCGGUGCUGGAAGGUUAAGAGGAGAGGUUAGCGUAAGCGAAGCUUUGAAUUGAAGCCCCAGUAAACGGCGGCCGUAACUAUAACGGUCCUAAGGUAGCGAAAUUCCUUGUCGGGUAAGUUCCGACCCGCACGAAAGGCGUAACGAGAGCUUUACUGCAACUUGAGAUUGGAUCUCGGUGACAAAUGUACAGGAUAGGUGGGAGACUUUGAACUGAUGGCGCCAGCUGUCAGGGAGUCGAUGUUGGGAUACCACCCUUUUGUGACUGAGAUUCUAACGCCAAGCGUAACGAACUUGCGGACAUUCUCAGGCGGGCGGUUUGACUGGGGCGGUCGCCUCCGAAAGAGUAACGGAGGCGCCCAAAGGUUCCCUCAGCGCGGACGGAAAUCGCGCGAAGAGUGUAAAGGCAGAAGGGAGCUUGACUGCGAGACCCACAAGUCGAGCAGGGACGAAAGUCGGGCUUAGUGAUCCGGUGGUUCCGAGUGGAAGGGCCAUCGCUCAACGGAUAAAAGCUACCCUGGGGAUAACAGGCUAAUCUCUCCCAAGAGUCCAUAUCGACGGGGAGGUUUGGCACCUC
rnacentral:rRNA from 1 species